rnacentral:rRNA from 1 species
UACAGAGGGUGCAAGCGUUGUUCGGAAUUACUGGGCGUAAAGCGCGUGUAGGUGGCGAUGUAAGUCGGAUGUGAAAUCCCUCGGCUUAACCGAGGAAGUGCAUUCGAUACUGUGUCGCUUGAGUAUCGGAGGGGUCGGCGGAAUUCCCGGUGUAGAGGUGAAAUUCGUAGAUAUCGGGAGGAACACCUGUGGCGAAGGCGGCCGACUGGACGAUCACUGACACUGAGACGCGAAAGCGUGGGUAGCAAAC